GGAAGGAUCAUUGAAUCAAUCAAAACCACACCGUGAACUAUUUGUCGUCUCCGACGGGUCCCUUGACCGGGCACCUGUCGGGCGUCGGUGCCCUCUCCCUCGCGGAGAGCUCCGCCGGCGGGCGUCGCGUCCGGCUUCACGGCCGGCCGCGGGGUCGACAUGCUCCAACCCAACAAACACCCAAGCAAUCAUUCUGAAUCAGUAUGCCGCCGACUUGUUCGACGUGCAACCUAACAAAUGACAACUCUCAACAACGGAUAUCUUGGCUCCCGCAUCGAUGAAGAACGCAGCGAAAUGCGAUACGUAGUGUGAAUUGCAGAAUUCCGUGAAUCAUCGAAUCUUUGAACGCAUAUUGCGCUCGAGACCUCGGUCAAGAGCAUGUCUGGCUCAGCGUCGGCUCACCCCCUCGCCACCCACUCCCCCGUUUCGAUGGGAGAGCCGGGAGGGCGGAUCUGGCCGUCUCUGUGCUCCUCGAGAGCGCAGGGUCGGCUGAAGAACAGAGGCUUGAGCAUGGUCCCGCUGAAAGGGCGCCAGCUUGGUAGGGUAGCUCACGCUCCAUGCCGCUGUCGCCCCUAGGUACCUGUGCUGCAAAGCCGGCAGGAAUCGGUGGUCAAACACCGAACUCUUACUUUCGACCUGAGCUCAGGCAAGACUACCCGCUGAACUUAAGCAUAUCAAUAAGCGGAGGAAAAGAAACUAACCAGGAUUCCCCUAGUAACGGCGAGUGAACCGGGAAAAGCCCAACUUGAAAAUCUCCAGCCUUCGGCUGGCGAAUUGUAGUCUAUAGAGGCGUCUUCUGUGGCUAGCCGGUCUCAAGUGCCUUGGAAAGGGACGUCAGAGAGGGUGAGAACCCCGUCGGACCGGUGCAGCUCACUUCACGAAGCGCUUUCGCAGAGUCGGGUUGUUUGGGAAUGCAGCCCUAAGCAGGUGGUAAAUCCCAUCUAAGGCUAAAUACUGGCGGGAGACCGAUAGCGAACAAGUACCGUGAGGGAAAGAUGAAAAGAACUUUGAAAAGAGAGUUAAACAGUACUUGAAAUUGUUGAGAGGGAAGAGAUUGGAAGCUGCGGGUGCGCCCAGGCUUAUGCACGCCUCACGGCUUGCUGUAUGUUCUGGGUGCUGGUCAGCAUCGAUUCGUUGGCCGGUACAAAAGCGCCGGUUGAUACGGCGCCAAUGCCGGCUCGCGGAUCGAGGCCUCAAGCGUGCCCUUUGGGUCCUUCGGGAACUGCACGCUCAGGAUGCUGGCGGAAGGCUUCCAAUCUACCCGUCUUGAAACACGGACCAAGGAGUCUAACAUGUAUGCGAGUUGGUGGGUGAUAAACCCAUGAAGCGCAAGUAACCUGACUGGUGGGAGGGCCUGUGCCUGCACCAUCGACCGACCAUGAUCUUCUGUGAAAGGUUUGAGUACGAGCAUACCUGUUGGGACCCGAAAGAUGGUGAACUAUGCCUGAGCAGGGCGAAGCCAGAGGAAACUCUGGUGGAGGCUCGUAGAUGUGCUGACGUGCAAAUCGCUUUUCGGACUUGGGUAUAGGGGCGAAAGACUAAUCGAACCAUACUAGUAGCUGGUUCCCUC
rnacentral:misc_RNA from 1 species